UAUAUUUAUUUAUUUAAUAUGGCAGAUUA
rnacentral:tRNA from 1 species